rnacentral:rRNA from 1 species
UACGAAGGGGGCAAGCGUUACUCGGAAUUACUGGGCGUAAAGCGCGCGUAGGUGGGUUUGUAAGUCGAUUGUGAAAGCCCUGGGCUCAACCCGGGAACUGCAGUCGAAACUGCAAAUCUUGAGUGCCUGAGAGGAUGGCGGAAUUCCCGGUGUAGAAGUGAAAUUCGUAGAUAUCGGGAGGAACACCUGAGGCGAAGGCGGCUAUCUGGCGGUGCACUGACACUGAUGCGCGAAAGCGUGGGGAGCAAACAGG